AUGCCAGGCAACGACCAAAGCUUCGACGUCGACGCCUACCCGCGUUACAUCUUCGGCGAGGAGAACAAGCCGGAGCAGGUCGGGGAGCAAGAGCUUCAUCGGCCGGUGCAGGCACCAUGGCCCAUCGAUAGCGAUAUCGGCGUCAUCGUCCUUGGGAGCACAAUCGACAUAUUGGAGAGGAGGUGUGAUGAGCAGUUUGCCAUCCACCAUGCAAAAGAUCCAGAGCUGCUCGGCGGCAUGAUCGACGACCCACCCGAAGAACCACCGUCACUAGUGCUCAUCGAGAGCUUGAUGCCCCGCAAUGAAUGGGCAGAGGACCUCUGCGAUUCAGUCAAGACAAAGGCAGCAUGCAGCUUCAUCAUUGCCCGCGGCGGCCAUGUCAACCUUGAUCUCGAUGAUGUGGUGGCUAGGCUCGAGCGCAUCCUUGGUGGAGUUGACGUCCCCGACGAAGUAGAACAUCGCCAACGUGAUAUGUUGAGGAUGCAGUUGAUCGACGAAAUUUGCUACCAGGCCUAA
rnacentral:rRNA from 1 species